AUUGAACGCUGGCGGCAGGCCUAACACAUGCAAGUCGAGCGAGCGGCGGACGGGUGAGUAAUGCCUGGGAAACUGCCUGAUGGCGGGGGAUAACUACUGGAAACGGUAGCUACUACCGCAUACCCUCAGCUGUUCCCAGAUGGGAUUAGCUAGUAGUUGGGGUAACGGCGCACCUAGGCGACGAUCCCUAGCUGGUCUGAGAGGAUGACCGGCCAAACGGGAACGGAGACAGGGUCAGAACUCCAACGGGAGGAAGAGGUGGGAAAUAUUCGACAUGGGGCGCAAGCCGGAUGAGCCCAGGCGGCGUAUGUGAAGAAGGCUUUCGGGUUGAAAAGCACGUUCAGCGGGGAGGCGUUACCCGAAGAAGAAGCACCGGCUAACUCCGUGCCAGCAGCCGCGGUAAUAC
rnacentral:rRNA from 1 species